UACGUAGGGGGCUAGCGUUGUCCGGAUUUAUUGGGCGUAAAGAGCGUGUAGGCGGCCAGAUAAGUCCGCUGUGAAAUCUCGAGGCUCAACUUCGAGCUGUCGGUGGAAACUGUCUGGCUAGAGUCCGGAAGAGGAGAGUGGAAUUCCUGGUGUAGCGGUGAAAUGCGCAGAUAUCGGGAAGAACACCCGUGGCUAAGGCGGCUCUCUAGUACGGUACUGACGCUGAGACGCGAAAGCGUGGGGAGCGAACAGG
rnacentral:rRNA from 1 species